rnacentral:rRNA from 1 species
GGAGGGUGCAAACGUUGUUCGGGAAUUACUGGGGCAUAAAGGGCUCGUAGGCGGCUGUGCAAGUGUGGAGUGAAAUCCCACGGGCUCACCCGUGGAACUGCUUUGCAGACUGCACGGCUAGAGGAUGGUAGGGGAGAGCGGAACUCCUGGUGGAGCGGUGAAAUGCGUAGAUAUCAGGAGGAACACCGGUGGCGAAGGCGGCUCUCUGGUCCAUUUCUGACGCUGAGGAGCGAAAGCCAGGGUAGCGAACGGGAUUAGAUACCCCGGUAGUCCUGGCCGUAAACGAUGGGCACUAGCUAGGGGUUUCCCUGUGGGAUCCCUGGUGAAGCAAAUGUGAUAAGUGCCCCGCCUGGGGAGUAUGGUCGCAAAGGCUG